rnacentral:rRNA from 1 species
GCGCAGCAGUCGAGAAACCUCCGCAAUACACGAAAGUGUGACGGGGCCAUCCCGAGUGCCGUCCGCUGAGGACGGCUUUUCCCCAGUGUACACAGCUGGGGGAAUAAGGAGAGGGCAAGCCUGGUGUCAGCCGCCGCGGUAAUACCAGCUCUCCGAGUGGUGGGGACGCUUAUUGGGCCUAAAGCAUCCGUAGCCGGCUGGGCAAGUCCUCCGUUAAAUCCAACGAUUCAAUCGUUGGCUGGCGGGGAUAC